CCUACGGGGGGCAGCAGUGAGGAAUAUUGGUCAAUGGGCGCGAGCCUGAACCAGCCAAGUAGCGUGAAGGAUGACUGCCCUACGGGUUGUAAACUUCUUUUGUCGGGGAACAAAGGCGGAGACGCGUCUCCGGAUGAGUGUACCCGAAGAAAAAGCAUCGGCUAACUCCGUGCCAGCAGCCGCGGUAAUACGGAGGAUGCGAGCGUUAUCCGGAUUUAUUGGGUUUAAGGGGUGCGCAGGCGGGAGAUCAAGUCAGCGGUAAAAUGUCGGGGCUCAACCCCGGCCGGCCGUUGAAACUGGUUUUCUAGAGUUGGAGAGAAGUAUGCGGAAUUCGUGGUGUAGCGGUGAAAUGCAUAGAUAUCACGAAGAACUCCGAUUGCGAAGGCAGCAUACCGGCUCCAUACUGACGCUGAGGCACGAAAGCGUGGGGAUCGAACAGGAUUAGAUACCCGAGUAGUC
rnacentral:rRNA from 1 species